rnacentral:rRNA from 1 species
CCAUCCUCCAAGGCUAAAUACUCCUGACUGACCGAUAGUGAACCAGUACCGUGAGGGAAAGGCGAAAAGAACCCCGGCGAGGGGAGUGAAAAAGAACCUGAAACCGUGUACGUACAAGCAGUGGGAGCCUCUUUUAUGGGGUGACUGCGUACCUUUUGUAUAAUGGGUCAGCGACUUAUAUUCUGUAGCAAGGUUAACCGAAUAGGGGAGCCGAAGGGAAACCGAGUCUUAACUGGGCGUUAAGUUGCAGGGUAUAGACCCGAAACCCGGUGAUCUAGCCAUGGGCAGGUUGAAGGUUGGGUAACACUAACUGGAGGACCGAACCGACUAAUGUUGAAAAAUUAGCGGAUGACUUGUGGCUGGGGGUGAAAGGCCAAUCAAACCGGGAGAUAGCUGGUUCUCCCCGAAAGCUAUUUAGGUAGCGCCUCGUGAAUUCAUCUCCGGGGGUAGAGCACUGUUUCGGCAAGGGGGUCAUCCCGACUUACCAACCCGAUGCAAACUGCGAAUACCGGAGAAUGUUAUCACGGGAGACACACGGCGGGUGCUAACGUCCGUCGUGAAGAGGGAAACAACCCAGACCGCCAGCUAAGGUCCCAAAGUCAUGGUUAAGUGGGAAACGAUGUGGGAAGGCCCAGACAGCCAGGAUGUUGGCUUAGAAGCAGCCAUCAUUUAAAGAAAGCGUAAUAGCUCACUGGUCGAGUCGGCCUGCGCGGAAGAUGUAACGGGGCUAAACCAUG